rnacentral:rRNA from 1 species
UAAAAAAUUUGGCGGUAUUUUAGUCUAUUCAGAGGAACUUGUUUUAUAAUCGAUAAUCCUCGAUGGACCUAACUUAAUUUUGUAUUCAGUUUAUAUACCGUCGUUAUUAGAAUAUUUUAUAAGAAAAUUAAUUUUCAUAAAUUUAUUUAAAAAGAAUAUCAGAUCAAGGUGUAGCUAAUAAUUAAGUAAAAAUGAGUUACAAUAAAAUUAUUUAGAUGAAUUUAAAUUUGAAAUAUUUAUUGAAGGUGGAUUUGAUAGUAAAAUUAUAAAGAUUGUUAUUUUGAUUUUAGCUCUAAAAUAUGUACAUAUCGCCCGUCACUCUUAUUACUAAGGUAAGAUAAGUCGUAACAUAGUAGAUGUACUGGAAAGUGUAUCUGGAUUACAAUUUAAAUCUUAAAUAGUUAAGUAUUUCAUUUACAUUGAAAAGAUUUUUGUGCAAAUCAAUAUAAAUUGAUUAGUAUUUAUUUAUUAAUUUAUUAAAAAUUUAAAAAUUUUAUAUUAAAAAUAAUUAUAAAAUUUAAUGUUUAAGUAAUUUAUAAAGAAAAAAUAAAUUUAAUUAUAGUUUAAUAGUAUU